AGACUUUGGGGAGGAGGGGGGAGGGAGGGGCUCGCGGGUAGAGCGAGGUGCUAGUCGCCUGCCGUUACUACGGUAGCCGAGGCGCGCUAGCCGUUACUACGGUAGCCGCGGCGCGCUAGGGAGAUCCUCAGAGCUCUGCAGCGGAGAGAGAGACAACAUGGAGAAGGAGGAGGAGGAGGGAGGCGCGAGAAGGACCAGGCAGGAGACUCCUUGAGGAGUGACGCAACAACCAAACUACUGGAGUUUCAAGGUCAGUAGGAGUCAUGUGUGUUUAACUGUUACUUGUGUAUUUUGUUUGUGAAGUGUUUCUAUCGUUUCUGUGUCAUUGUUGUACUGUGGGUAUAAUAUAUUUAUCUGUGUUCAAGCAUUGCUUUAGUCUGUGUAUCUGGUUUAAGCCUUUCUAUAUUCUGUAUCUAUGUUAGAGUGUUGCUUCAGUCUGUUUAUCUGUGUUUGAGUGUUGCUUUAGUCUUUGUAUCUGUGUCUGAGUGAAAGUUUAGUCUGUUUAUCUGUGUUUGAGUGUUGCUUCUGUUUAUCAAUGUUUGUUGCUUUAAUCUCUACUAUCUAUUUUUAAGUGUUGGAUUAGUCUGUUUAUUUGUGUUUGUUGCUUUAGUCUUUACAACUGUGUUUGAGUGUUGCUGUAGUUUGUCUACCUGUGUUUGAGUGUUGCUUAAAUACGUUUUUGUGGGUUUAAAAAGUCUUCUUUUGUCAGGUAAUAUCCGUUUGAGUCUUG
ensembl:lncRNA